UCUUCCGCAAUGGACGAAAGUCUGACGGAGCAACGCCGCGUGAGUGAUGAAGGUUUUCGGAUCGUAAAACUCUGUUGUUAUGGAAGAACAGGUACCGUUCGAAUAGGGCGGCACCUUGACGUUACCUAACCAGAAAGCCACGGCUCACGUCGUGCCAGCAGCCGCGGUAAUACGUAGGAGGCAAGCGUUGUCCGGAAUUAUUGGGCGUAAAGCGCGCGCAGGCGGUUUCUUAAGUCUGAUGUGAAAGCCCCCGGCUCAACCGGGGAGGGUCAUUGGAAACUGGGGAACUUGAGUGCAGAAGAGGAGAGUGGAAUUCCACGUGUAGCGGUGAAAUGCGUAGAGAUGUGGAGGAACACCAGUGGCGAAGGCGACUCUCUGGUCUGUAACUGACGCUGAGGCGCGAAAGCGUGGGGAGCGAACAG
rnacentral:rRNA from 1 species